ensembl:lncRNA
ACCGCCAAAGUUGAGAACCAUUGCGUAGUUAGGGCCACCUACCCUUGACCAAUGGUGGUUAGAACUGGUGGAUAAAUACAUCUCUUGGGGGAGAAUGCUCAGCACAUUCUAUGAAAACAACUCAGUGUCCCAGUGGGAUUGAGCCUUUGUUACCCACAGUGGUGAUCAGUUAGAUAACGCACCAUUGAAUUAUCUUCCCUCAUUCUCUAUUUCGCUCUUCCAAGACCCACACUCCUGUUCCUGGGAUUAAUUACAAACUGAACUGUGUGCACUCAGCCACUUAUCUCAGGCUGCUUUUGAGAAGGAACCCAGGCUAACGUAGGCAGAAAAGCGUAGAGCUUAUAUCUGGCCCUCAUUUCCUGGUCCUCAUGGGAGCGUACGAAGGAAGGAAGUAUUUGCUCCCCGUGGAACUGUCUCACACGAAGUUGGAGGCUGACAAGUCCCAAGAUCUGCAGUUGGCAAGUUGGAGGAACAAGAGACCCAAUGGUAUCGUUUCAGUCUGUGUUGAGGGCCCGAGACCCAGGAGAGCCGAUGGUGAAACCUUGGGAGUUGCUCAGGGCUUGGACACUCGGAGAGCAGUCAACCAUCGACUGACAGGAAGUCCACCUGUAACCAGCAGUAAGUUUCAGACAAGUUUGCUGUCUGAGAGCCAGCAGUUCCUGUCCCUGUGCUCAGACCAGAGAGUUCAUACUUAUGCGGACACUGCAGGGGCUCUGGGGACAGAGGAGCAAACACUGCUAAGUGAUGAGAAUGCACCAGUAAGAUGUUUCCUGGCCUCAAGGGGCUCAAGCUCAUGCGAGAGGAGAUAAACUGCCACACAGCACGCAGGAAACAUAAACCAGGGCUGGACCAGAGAAGGCUUUGUGCUAAGCAAGCAUGAAAAAGAAUGCCGCUUAUGGCUAUACCCACGCUGUGAACUACGAUGAAUAGAAUUCGACUCACAAUUGCCAAAGAGAAGUCUACAUGGUCUUUGAAUAUGUGAUUUACCUACAAAUCUUUUGCAAAUUACCUUAAUCCUACAUAUUCACAUUUGUGCUCUUCCUAACCAUAAUGUGCCGUCUGGAUUUAGCCCUGAAGGGCUGUUUUAAUGGACAAGCACUUGAUUUGUUUCGUGGUUUUCAGGAUUUGUUUAAUAAACAUUUCUUGAGCACCAAUUAUGUCCCAGGGCCAAUGCUGUAUGCUGGACUCAAGGAAGCUAAGACUUGCUCUCAGGGGUCUGACAAUCUAGUGCUGUAGAAACAUAAGAAAAUAUGGAAUCCAGAGCAGAGAGGAACCAACAAUAUGUAGGUCUCAGAGAUGACACAUUGUGUGAAAGGCUGACAACUGAAAGCAUACUUACAUGUCUUUAUAUAUGAAAAUUCUUUACGGAAGAAUAAAAUCUUUAGGAUUGAAAUACAUUUUAAUUUUCGCAAACUGGCCGUUCCUUUUCUUUGAGCUUAUAAACAUUGUUGACAGCGAAUUGUUAGUGGGAUAAGAAAAAAAAAUACAGAAGAGAGACUUUGCUUUAUUAUGUCAAAAAUGAUCAACUGACACAUAGGAAAGACACA